AGAGUUUGAUCCUGGCUCAGGAUGAACGCUGGCGGCAUGCCUAAUACAUGCAAGUCGAACGAACAGGCCCAUGAAAUUUGAAAGUACUUGUACCGGAUUUUGGAUUGGAUUCUCCUGUUAGUGGCGAACGGGGUAGUAACGCGUGGGAAACCUGCCCAUGGGAUGAGGAUAACUAUUGGAAACGAUAGCUAAUACUGAAUAUGAUAUUAAAACACAUGUUUAAAUAUUGAAAGGCGCGUUUGCGUCGCCCAUGGAUGGUCCCGCGUUGUAUUAGCUAGUUGGUGAGGUAAUGGCUCACCAAGGCUACGAUACAUAACCGGGCUGAGAGGCUGAACGGUACCACUAGGACUGAGACACGGCCUAGACACCUACGGGUGGCAGCAGUAGGGAAUUUUUCGCAAUGGACGAAAGUCUGACGGAGCAAUGCCGCGUGAACGAUGAAGGUCUUCGGAUCGUAAAGUUCUGUUGUAAGGGAAGAACACCAAGGAUAGGAAAUGAUCUUUGGCUGACGGUACCUUGCCAGAAAGGGACGGCUAACUUCGUGCCAGCAGCCGCGGUAAUACGAAGGUCCCAAGCGUUAUCCGGAAUUAUUGGGCGUAAAGCGCAUGUAGGCGGUUUACUAAGUCUGGUGUGAAAGCUCACGGCCUAACCGUGAAAUUGCAUUGGAAACUGGUGAACUAGAAUACUGGAGGGGUAAGUGGAAUUCCAUGUGUAGCGGUGGAAUGCGUAGAUAUAUGGAGGAACACCAAUGGCGAAGGCAGCUUACUGGACAGAGAUUGACGCUGAGAUGCGAAAGCGUGGGGAGCAAACAGGAUUAGAUACCCUAGUAGUCC
rnacentral:rRNA from 1 species